rnacentral:rRNA from 1 species
AUGACACUGGGAAGACCCUCAUUUUCUUCAUUCUUGUUCCUUUGUUCCCAUGUUCUGCUGGCUGCAUUCCACACUACCUGCGAUGCAGCCCAGAGCUCACACCCAGUUCUACAGGUAAACUGCUCGACGUCGGGCAACUACACCUCUACCAGCACCUAUGCCGCCAACCUGAACCAGUUCCUCGCCGCGCUCCCCGAGAAGGCCGUCCCCAAGAAUGGCGGUUUCUUCAACGGCACGGUUGGGGAGGGCCCAGACACUGUUUAUGGCCUCGCAAUGUGCUCCGCGGACUACUCACGUUCUGACUGCGGUGACUGCCUUGCAGCCACAGCUAGCAGCGACGCUAAUGGUCUGCCGAACCUCUGCCCUGGGAGCACCACUGUGCUCGCCUGGUUCGAGCCGUGCCUCGUCCGCUACUCUGACACCAACUUCUUUGGCACAGCUGAGAUAGGUUCAAUCUACACAUCGGAUGGUCCAAGCGCAGGUGCUGCGGGGUUGCAGUACAGCAAGGACGUGCAGAGAAACUUGAAGGAGGCGACAGGGGGCGCGGUGGCCUCGCCGCAGAGAUUCGGAGCGUCUUCGACAGAUCCAUACACGUUGGUGCAGUGCACGUGGGAUCUGUCGCCGGACCGGUGCAAGCAGUGCCUGGACGUGCUGUCGGCCAAUGCCUCCGGGGAGUGGACUUCCAUGACAGUGUAUGGCCAGCGUAGGAGCUAUAGCUGUGCUGUUAGGUACAGCAACAGCAGCUUCAUGGUUGUGCCGUUGGGUGGUGCGGCUGUUGCCCCUACACCGCAAUCUGUUGAGCAAGCUACCACAUCAGCUACUCAGUCGAGCGGGGCCACGGGCAAAGGUUCUCUGACAAUUGGCGUGGUGGGAUCUGUACUGGGUGUAAUUCUUCUGGCUUGUUUAGCAGGUUUGAUUUGGUAUGUGCGAUAUGGACGGAACCAGCCUAACACAAUAGGGCGUGCUGAAAAGUUCACUUACCAGCGAUUGGCAGCUGCGACGCGUGACUUCGCAGUGGACCGAAAGCUUGGAGAGGGUGCCUUUGGCGCCGUCUACAAAGGCACACUGAUGCUGCGAGGAAGAGAAGUGGACGUGGCUAUAAAAAAGAAUGCGCAUACUACGUCAGAUCAAGCAAAGGCUGCCUUUUAUAAAGAGGUUGAAAUUAUGAGCCCACUGAGCCAUCGCAACAUCAUACGUCUUGUGGGCUGGUGCGACGAAAGGAACAGUCUCCUGCUUGUCUACGAACUAGUGGAUGAUCGCAACCUUCAGGCUCGUCUUUAUGGCCAUGGUGCUCGUGUGGAUGCGGAACUUUCCGGUGCAAGGGCUCCGGGUUCAGCUCUUGAUCUAGAUUGGCACAAAAGGUACAACAUACUGCAUGGAAUAGCCUCAGGUCUUGAGUACCUCCAUAAUAAUUGUGCAAAGGCCGUCAUGCAUAGAGACAUCAAGCCAGGUAAUGUAAUGUUGGAUAGGGACUCCAAUGCUAAACUGUGUGACUUCGGGCUGGUGACACAACUCACCCACGCCAUAACCUCGCGCUCAACAAACAACGUCAUUGGAACACAAGGCUACAUGGACCCAGCAUACCAAAGCACCGGCCAGGUAACAAAGGGUUCUGACGUCUACAGCUUUGGCGUGCUGUUGCUUGAGGUUGUAUGUGGCGUGGCGCCAAACCUGAUUGGAAGUCCGCCAAAAAACAGCCUCAUCGAGAAGGUCCGGGAGUGCUGUGAGAGAAAUGCAAUUCUUGACGCAGCCGACCAACGGCUGAGGGGUAAUUUUGAUGAGGAAAUUAAAGGAGUGUUGUUGAUCGGGCUGCGUUGUGUGGAAACAAGCCGUGGUGACCGUCCAAGUAUACAAAUUGUGUUGGCUGAUCUAGUAAGCAUUGCGGCUAAAUCAACUUCACAUAACCGUCGUACAAGCGCAGUGGUGGGUGCUGAGGUGUGA